rnacentral:lncRNA from 1 species
CCGCCACCCUCCAGCGCUACCGUCCGCUGCCACCGCCCACCGCCCACCGCUACCGUCUGCUUGGAGCGCCAUCACCUGGAUCUGCGUCGCCGCUCCCUCCGUCCUCCUUCACCGCCGCCGCUCCCUCCAGCGCCCGCUCGCCCGCCAGCCAACGCCGACGCCGUUGGGCCCGUUGCCAAGAGUCCUCCACCGCCGUUGCCCUCCAGCGCCCGCUCACCAGAGCCGACGCCGUCCUCCUCCCACUGUCCACCCUCCCUCCUGGUCACCAACACCGUCGUGUUCUUCUGCGUCGACUCCGGUCACCAACACAAGAUUAAUUGGGGAGCCGCUCUUUGAUCAUUUGAUAUGUGUGUGUUUUGAAAUGGGG